GAUGAACGCUGGCGGCGUGCCUAAUACAUGCAAGUCGAGCGAACAGACGAUGAUCUUGCUCCUCUGACGUUAGCGGCGGACGUGUGAGUAACACGUGUAUAACCUACCUAUAAUACUGGGAUAACUUCGUGAAACCGGAUCUAAUACCGUAUAAUAUAUUUAACCGCAUUGUUCAAUAGUGAAAGUCGGUUUUUCUGUCUCUUAUAGAUUGAUCCUCGCCGCAUUAGCUAGUUGGUAAGGUAACGGCUUACCAAGGCAACGAUGCGUAGCGGACCUGAGAGGGUGAUCGGGAAAAGUGGAACGGAGAAAAGGACCAGAGAACUACGGGAGGGAGCAGAAGGGAAUAUUACGCAAGGGGGGAAAGCAUGAAGGAGCAAAGCGGAGGGAGUGAAGAAGGUCUUAGGAUCGGAAAAAUCUGUUAUUAGGGAAGAAAAAAAGUGGAAGAAAAUAUGAACGGCUUGACGGUAACUAAAAAGAAAGCAACGGCUAACUACGUG
rnacentral:rRNA from 1 species